CUCACGAAGUCACAUACACGCGACAAACAAACAUACAAAUGCUUGAGCCCUUCGUGAUCAUCCACGCAACCUACACCCGCGCUCUCGCAGACAUGAUAACAUCCCCGUGAUAAUAUGAACGUCUCAGCACUUAUAAACAUUCAAACGCGAUCUCAAGCGUGAACCUACAGUCCCCCGCACUCGCGCGAUAAUGUAUCGGUCACGUCAGGAAGUCUCUAUCCUCGAUUCCAGAAGUCUAGGUCCAUGCCUUCAAUUGAAUCAUCUGAACAGAAAGCUCUCAUAUCCACUGGUCAACACGUUCCAUGACCAGGAACAAUAGUGAUAUGGAGUAACUUACUCCCUGUCAGAAUGUGAUCCGUACACCGAAAACUAAAUAUCAGAAUGGCGGUCCGCGUGGCCAUCCAAGAGCACACGCAAUUAUGUGAAUGGUCACAGAGUUAGAAAAGCGAAUUUAUUCACGCGUAUUUUUUUGCUAAAAAUGCUCAUAACUUUUGAACUAAAUGAGCUAUCUCAAAUCUGUCUAUAUAAACAAUAUUCGUCUCUUUAAGCUCUAAAAGUUUUGUGAAGACACUAUUGAAGGAAAAAAAUAUUUAAGAAGUUAUAAUGAAAAAAACAAUGGUUUAGGGUUACCCUAUCACACAUUAUAAUGGCUGUAAAAUUAAAACCAUUAAAGUUAGAAAUAUGACGUCAUCCGCAAAGUUGCUUGAAAAAGGUUGUACUACAAUUUUGCGGAACACUCGAUUGUUUUAUCUCUUCUUGUUUCAAAAAUAAUUUCUGAACCACCCUAAUGUCACCCAUCUCAAAAGAUGCCUGAAUUGACACAGAUUGUUUGUUACGAAGACAUGAAAUUUCUAGAACCAGUAGUUUAGUCACACAUGUUUUUGUCAUCCUGAAUUCUGGAUUCGGACCACUGUACAUUGGAAAAAUCUUCAUGAAAAUCAAUCAGCAAUACUACCAAUGCCCCCAAAUACAUUGAUUACUUUUCAUGAAGAUUUUUCCAUAUUUGGAUAUUUGGAAAGUAUCAACCGCAGCAACUGAAAAACUCAGACAUUGAAAUGCACUUUUUUACAAAGAAGAAGCUCAAAGCUUGCUCUGCCUGCAGACAAUCAAAGACGCAAACAUAGCUCAUCGCCGCUGAAGUUUAUUGUACCCCUUCUACGAACCGGUCAUAAUAUUGGACCUAAACAUAACACAUCGAUUGGGUGACGAAUUGAUGGAUAUCUCCGCCAUGCGACGUUUCUAAGGAAAAUCAUUCAAACGCUCAGCAUUACGAAGCUGCUGAUCAUGUUCCACAUAAAUCCGCUAGAUUUCAAAACACCGAAUCUUUCGAUACCUUGAUGGCGUUUCCGAGGUGCGUUUCAGCAUAUGUUGAACAUGAGCUGGAGCCGAUUUGUCACGACCACGCAGGACCCGAAUAACAAAAAGCAAUGCGGAAAUCGACAUUACUCUCCUGACCGACUUGGCUUGCUAAAUUUGCUUUCGACUGGAUAUUCCACGUGCCAUCCUACUAUCGUUGUACUUCAUUCUACGACAACCAGGCGAGAAAAAUCUAGGCCAAUACAACUUGAUGCUAUAGGUGUUGAGCGGGGUCAUCACAUUUGGUAGUUUAUUCGUUUUCUUGGCACUUGUGAAGGACUUUCUUGGGAAAAAAUGCUUAAACCUGAUCUACAUGGUAGUCCACGCUGGAUAUUAAUCAAGACACAUUAACCUGCCCAGAAGUUGCUCUCAUCCGGUCAUCGUGCUACUGUAAAAUUACAGUUGCAAACUCGUCCGAGUUGGAUGAGUCCGAUUGCUUCACGUAUGGCUUUCCUGUGUACUAGUUUAGAUUUCGAGAAGUACCUUAUGUUUAUGUCACUAGAGCUGGCUGCUGCUGUAGUAGAGCACGAGUGCGAUGAAGAAAACUAAGCCGAUUGCGAGGAAGGAUAGGAUGAGGAAACUUGCACAUGCCGAGAUUACACUGAUGAUGAAGGACAUGGUGGCACCGGUCUCGGCGGUUUUGGAAGCAUCGAGGACGAACUGCCUUCACGAGACGUUGAUUUGUCCAGCUAUAUUCACAUGGAUGCUGCGGAAAAUAUUCUCGCUCAUGAUUCCGGCUCCGGAAGUACGCAUCGGAAGCGCAAGUUGACUGAGAAUCGGAUGUUGUUCAGAAGCGGCACCGCUCGUACUAUGGGAUCCGAAACCGUAGGGAAUAACUGUGACAACGCAAGCUCAAAGUCCCUCAACUUUAGUAGUAUGAAACGGUUAGCUUUAGAUUCGCCGAGAACUUUACUCAGUCCGUCUAAUCUUACUUCAACGCCAACAUCCUCAACGAUGAGAGAGCGAAAGACUUCCCGAAGUAUAAUCCUCCUCCCGAGGUAAACGAUUGGUUGCAACACUUCCAGCGAUGGACUCCCGUCAAACGUCUGGUGGCAGUAGAUCUGCGGCCCGACCCAGGUGCGGCACAUUAUGACGGUUAUCGAACCCCAAUUCCCACGAGAUUUUAUUUUACUUCCUCUGAAAGAGCUCGCACUUCAAGUGCUGUCCUACCUGGAACCAAGAGAAGGAAAAUAGCAAGGAAGCUGCUGUCGUGAUGGAAGCGAUGGGAGGUGAACGUCGUGCAUUUACACGGAAAUAAAGUCAUCAGUGGCUCUUGCGAUGCGACUCUACGAGUCUGGGACGUUACCGAGGGCACUUGCCCACAUGUGCUGGUUAGUCAUUUGGCUGCUGUUCAGUAUGAUGGUAGGCUAGUAGUUGCGGGACUGCAUGGUUAAGGUGUGGAAUCUUGAACGACACGAGUAUCUCCAUACGCUCCAGGGCCACACUAAUCGGGUGUACUCGCUAGUUUGAUGGUAUUCACGUCAUAUUUAGCUCGCUUUACACGUCGGUUCGCGUGUGGAACGCGGAAACGAAGAGUUGCAAUCAUGAUCUGAUGGGUCACCAGAGUUUAACAUCCGGAAUGGAGCUCCGGUAAAAUAUUCUGGAAUAAGGGAAUGCUGACUCGACCGUCAAGGUUUUGGACAUCAUCACUGGUUAGUGCUUGCAAAUGCUAUCUGGCCCCAACAAGCAUCAAUCAGCUGUCCCCUUGUUUACAGUUCAAUUCCCGCUUCGGAAUCACCAGCUCCGACGACGGUACCGUCAAGUUGUGGGACGUUAAAACUGGAGAGUCCAAUCUUAACCUGGUUGCACUAGAAUCCGGCGGUGUGUGACGAAUCAGAGCCAAUGACACGAAACAAAUUUGUGCCGUAGAGUCACGCAAC